rnacentral:rRNA from 1 species
UACGUAGGAGGCAAGCGUUAUCCGGAAUGACUGGGCGUAAAGGGUGCGUAGGUGGUUUGACAAGUUGGUAGCGCAACUCCGGGGCUCAACCUCGGCACUACUACCAAAACUGUUUCCCUUGAGUAUCGGAGAGGUCAUCGGAAUUCCUAGUGUAGCGGUGAAAUGCGUAGAUAUUAGGAAGAACACCAGUGGCGAAGGCGGAUGACUGGACGACAACUGACGGUGAGGCGCGAAAGCGUGGGGAGCAAACAGG